CCGUGACUGAAUUAAAGUAUAUAACUAUGCGCAAGCCUUAUUUUAGUAUUAGUAUUGUCAUCUGAUAUAGUCAUGCCGAUUAUAAGAUACACAGUUUUCUCUGCUUUCAAAUCUUUCUGUUUGAACCCGUCGAACUGGAACUUAUCAAUUAUUGGUAAUAUUAAUUAUUUGGAAAACAAAAGGUCCAGGAAUGGAGUAUUUUUUAAUCAACAGCAUUGUCCUAUAUUAGUUAUAAAUAAAGUUGAAUUCUCAGUUUGAUUCGCUGUUUUACGUCAUGCCCGCUAACAAAUUGAAAACUGUACCUAUACGCCUUAUUUUUAGUCCAGAUUUUUAGUAUUCGUAUUGUUAUCUUAGAAAGUCUUACUGAUUAAAAUACUACAGUAUUAAGGUAACAAUUUGACAAUUUAGUAGUGUCAAUCCUGUGAUUAUGACCCGUUUAUAUAGCAUAUUAAUCCUGAAUACACCGUUUGGUGGUGUGUCUGUCAGAUGCGGAACGUACAGAUAAGGUAAUAUGUAACAGGUGAAUAUACUAUUGGUAUCGAUAUCGGACUCGACUCGGAACUUCUUAAUUAUUGGCAAUAUUAAUUACGUGGAAGACAAAAGGGCCUUGAGUGGUGUAAUUUUUAAUCUACACCUUUGAACUAUAUUAGUUAUAUAUAAAGUUGAAUUCUUUGAUUCGUCGUUAGGCCAACUAAAAUUAAUUAGUAGAUUUUCAUCCAAAUUUUUGAAAAAAAUGGGGCGGGUGGGAGGAUUUUAUUUUUUAAAUUUUAUUUCAUAUGAAACUUUCUUGUCAGGUGUUAUUCAUAUAUGCAAGUGUAAUAAUAAGCUUAUAUCAUGUAAAUACAUUCAUAAGGUAUCGUGUAU
rnacentral:lncRNA from 1 species